ensembl:lncRNA
CGGUGGAGACAGGAUGUCCCAGGUUCGCAGGGACGGCAGUCGCCCAACCCACAACCGGCCCCACCCUCCCGGGAGGGAGCGCUAGUCCUCCCCAAGUUCCAUCCCCACCCCCAGCUUCCCAGGGCUGAAACCCCGGGAACUGCCGGGCCAGGGAAGGGCGGGACUGACUCGUGCCGUACCUGUCCGCGGGAUUUCCCGAGCCCUGCCCGGCCGCCCCGGGAGCGGAGUGGCGAGCCGGACUCCGAGUCGACCCGACCCCGGGGCAGCACCGGAGCGGACCGGGCAGCAGUGGGCGCUCGCGAUCCUCCUCGGCCCGACACGCUCUCCCUUCGGGCCCGGCCUCCUCUGUCCCCUCCUCCCGCUCCCGCUCCUCCCUCUGCUCCUCCCCUCGGCGGCGGUGAUAACCUCGCCUCCCCGCCUGCAAAGUCCCCGGCGCGAGGGCAGCCGCGAACCGCCGCCACCACUGGGUCUCCGCGGGCGCCUGCGCCGGUGUCUCGCCCUCCGGCCCGGGUCGUCCUGGAAAAACUCGCUCCGCUGGCCGCCGGGGCUCCACGGCGCUGCCCAUGGCCAAGCCCAGGAGCCGACUUCGGGCGCCGGACCGGCUGGACAGCCGAGGCGCGGCUCAGAAGAGUCAGGAGGUUUGCAUCUGCCCGACGCGUCUCUCUAGGACCGACCGUGAGGGGCAGUAGGAGCGCAAAGCUCCGCGGAGCCUGGGUACCACUCUGGCUGGCAACUGGGGCGGGGAUAACAGCAAAAACUCCGUCUUCAGGGAGCAUCCAGGGUGGGGAAACCUCAGUGCGGUUAGCUUUGGGAACGAAGCAGAGAUGGGACAUCUCCCGAGGGGCGGGCAAAGCUCGGGAGGAGAGAGAUGGAAGCGGCGGACAGACACACCUUGGGUGGUGA